GAUGAACGCUGGCGGCGUGCUUAACACAUGCAAGUCGAACGGAAAGGCCCAAGCUUGCUUGGGUACUCGAGUGGCGAACGGGUGAGUAACACGUGGGUGAUCUGCCCUGCACUUCGGGAUAAGCCUGGGAAACUGGGUCUAAUACCGGAUAGGACCACUUCUUGGAUGUUGUGGUGGAAAGUUUUUUCGGUGUGGGAUGAGCUCGCGGCCUAUCAGCUUGUUGGUGGGGUAAUGGCCUACCAAGGCGUCGACGGGUAGCCGGCCUGAGAGGGUGUACGGCCACAGUGGGACGGAGAACCGGCCCAGACCCCUACGGGGGGGGGCGGGGGGGAUUGUUGAAAAAUGGGGGCAGGCUGGAUGCAGCGCCGCCGGGGGGGGGAGGACGGCCUUGGGGUGGUAAACUCCUUCCGCUAGGGAAGAAGCGUUUUGGGACGGUACCUGGAGAAGAAGCACCGGCUAACUCCGUG
rnacentral:rRNA from 1 species